UCUGUCUCACAGCUCCUCAGACACCAAGACUGUCUCCAGCACAAGCACAGUCACCCCCACUGUCACCAAGACCAGCUCCUCAGACACCAAGACAGACCUCUCUGGCACAAAGACAGUCCCCCCCACUGUCACCAAGACCAGCUCCUCAGACACCAAGACUGUCUCCUCCAGCACAAGCACAGUCACCCCCGCUGUCACCAAGACCAGCUCCUCAGACACUAAGACAGACCU